GUUCCAGUACCAACAGCUAAAUCAGAACCAAAGUCCUGCUAGAUUUUUCAUUCUGUGUCAACUGGCCAUUAGUCUGGUGUGAUUAUUCCGCAGGAACCGAGUGCUCUCUUGUGGUAUAAACAGAAACUGACCCUGCUCAGCAUGCAACAGAGUUUGUGGCAGCCCUUUGUCAUAAUGGAAAGAUAAUGUUUUGUGAAGAAAUCAAGGGGAGACAUCAGAUGAAUAUAUUUACUUCAAGGCAACAUUCAAAAGACUUAAGGAGUGUCCUCCUUAACUGAAGGAAAUUGAAGGAAAGGAUGUACAGUUGGCUAAUCCGAAGAUAUCGAACAAAGUGUAUUUUGACGGCUCCAGUUUGGACCAAGCCUCUGAAGAUUUCAGAUGACCCAACACCUGUGAAGAGAUGAUGCCAACAACUCUUAAUCAACAUAUUCAAAACUGCCAACUUUUCAAUAUGGUCACAACAUAGCCUAGUAAAAUGCUCAUUGUUUUGUACUUAAAUAAAUAAAGGAUUUUAGCAGCAUUGGCCUAUUUGUAUUGUCUUAGAACUACAUUUCUGUCACAUGAAUAUUGCUUUGACACAAUCACCUCUGAAAACAGAUUACUCUUGAUUAUCAUGUAUACAUUCAU